UCCCAAGAUGCAACAAUUACAAAUACCUCGGGGUGGAUAUUGAAGCACUGGGCCUUCCAAAUUUUGAGGAGAGACUGAAGUCUAAAGCCAUGAAAGCUAAGGGCUAUCUGAACAGCCUUGCACAAUCGAGCUACCUUGACGUGACGCGGGAGCUGUGGAAGAUUGUCGUCGUCCCUCGCCUUACGUAUGCAAAUGCAGUCACGUGCAUAUCCGGGGCCACUGGCGAAUUCCUUGAGAGGAAACAACGCGAGAAACUUUUACUACACGACACAGUUCUACCGGCAUAUGCCACAUAAAAGAGGAAGCACACGCAAUGAGGGAGACAGGUUUAUGCUUUCAGUUAUGGAAUGAUCGCAGGCUAUGACGAUGUAAAGUUGGCUGCUAAGUACAAGACACAAGAUUAUAACGACCACAGAGUAUGAAUAUAUAAAAAAACAAUGAAACUGCAAUUAAAUGCAACA